rnacentral:rRNA from 1 species
UGGGGAAUAUUGCACAAUGGGCGGAAGCCUGAUGCAGCGACCCGCUGGGGGAUGAAGGCCUUCGGGUUGUAAACUCCUUUCGACAGGGACGAAGCUUUUGUGACGGUACCUGUAUAAGAAGCACCGGCUAACUACGUGCCAGCAGCCGCGGUAUUACGUAGGGGGCGAGCGUUGUCCGGAAUUACUGGCCGUAAAGUNCAANUAGGUGGUUUGUCGCGUCGUCUGUGAAAUUCCGGGGCUUAACUCCGGGCGUGCAGGCGAUACGGGCUGACUUGAGUGCUGUAGGGGAGACUGGAAUUCCUGGUGUAGCGGUGAAAUGCGCAGAUAUCAGGAGGAACACCGAUGGCGAAGGCAGGUCUCUGGGCAGUAACUGACGCUGAGGAGCGAAAGCUUGGGUAGCGAACAGGAUUAGAUACCCUGGUAGUCCAUGCCGUAAACGGUGGGCGCUAGGUGUAGGGGGCUUCNACGUCUUCUGUGCCGUAGCUAACGCAUUAAGCGCCCCGCCUGGGGAGUACGGCCGCAANGNNAA